GUGGCUGUGGCUCAGUGGUAGAGUGCUUACCUAGCAUGCAUGAGGCACUGGGUUCAAUCCUCAGCACCACA
rnacentral:tRNA from 2 species